UACGAAGGGGGCUAGCGUUGUUCGGAAUUACUGGGCGUAAAGCGCGUGUAGGCGGGUCUUUUAAGUCAGGGGUGAAAUGCCAAGGCUCAACCUUGGAACUGCCUUUGAUACUGGAGAUCUUGAGUCCGGGGAGAGGUGAGUGGAAUUGCGAGUGUAGAGGUGAAAAUUCGUAGAUAUUCGCAAAGAACACCAGUGGCGAAGGCGGCCAACUGGACCAAUACU
rnacentral:rRNA from 1 species